rnacentral:rRNA from 1 species
GACGAACGCUAGCGGCGUGCUUAACACAUGCAAGUCGAGCGGUAAGGCCCUUCGGGGUACACGAGCGGCGAACGGGUGAGUAACACGUGGGUGAUCUGCCUUGCACUUCGGGAUAAGCCUGGGAAACUGGGUCUAAUACCGGAUAUGACCUCGGGUUGCAUGGUCUUUGGUGGAAAGAUUUAUCGGUGCGAGAUGGGCCCGCGGCCUAUCAGCUUGUUGGUGAGGUAACGGCUCACCAAGGCGACGACGGGUAGCCGACCUGAGAGGGUGACCGGCCACACUGGGACUGAGACACGGCCCAGACUCCUACGGGAGGCAGCAGUGGGGAAUAUUGCACAAUGGGCGAAAGCCUGAUGCAGCGACGCCGCGUGCGGGAUGACGGCCUUCGGGUUGUAAACCGCUUUUGACAGGGACGAAGCGUAAGUGACUGUACCUGUAGAAUAAGGACCGGCCAACUACGUG